AUUGAACGCUGGCGGCAGGCCUAACACAUGCAAGUCGAGCGGAUGAAGGGAGCUUGCUCCUGGAUUCAGCGGCGGACGGGUGAGUAAUGCCUAGGAAUCUGCCUGGUAGUGGGGGAUAACGUCCGGAAACGGGCGCUAAUACCGCAUACGUCCUGAGGGAGAAAGUGGGGGAUCUUCGGACCUCACGCUAUCAGAUGAGCCUAGGUCGGAUUAGCUAGUUGGUGGGGUAAAGGCCUACCAAGGCGACGAUCCGUAACUGGUCUGAGAGGAUGAUCAGUCACACUGGAACUGGGACACGGUCCAGACUCCUACGGGAGGCAGCAGUGGGGAAUAUUGGACAAAGGGCGAAAGCCUGAUCCAGCCAUGCCGCGUGUGUGAAGAAGGUCUUCGGAUUGUAAAGCACUUUAAGUUGGGAGGAAGGGCAGUAAGUUAAUACCUUGCUGUUUUGACGUUACCAACAGAAUAAGCACCGGCUAACUUCGUG
rnacentral:rRNA from 1 species